UUAUGGCUCAGGAUGAACGCUAGCUACAGGCUUAACACAUGCAAGUCGAGGGGCAGCAUGAUCGAAGCUUGCUUUGAUUGAUGGCGACCGGCGCACGGGUGAGUAACGCGUAUCCAACCUUCCCUAUAGUAGAGAAUAGCCCGGCGAAAGUCGGAUUAAUGCUCUAUGUUGUAUUUAGAGGACAUCUGAAGAAUACCAAAGGUUUUACCGCUAUAGGAUGGGGGGUGCGUCUGAUUAGGUAGUAGGCGGGGUAACGGCCCACCUAGCCGACGAUCAGUAGGGGUUCUGAGAGGAAGGUCCCCCACAUUGGAACUGAGACACGGUCCAAACUCCUACGGGAGGCAGCAGUGAGGAAUAUUGGUCAAUGGACGGAAGUCUGAACCAGCCAAGUAAGCGUGCAGGAUGACGGCCCUAUGGGUUGUAAACUGCUUUUAUAUAGGGAUAAAGUCGGGGACGUGUCCCCGUUUGUAGGUACUAUAUGAAUAAGGACCGGCUAAUUCCGUGCCAGCAGCCGC
rnacentral:rRNA from 1 species